rnacentral:rRNA from 1 species
UAAUACAGAGGCCCCAAGCGUUACUGAGAAUCACUGGGUUUAAAGGGUGCGUAGGUGGCGCGUUAAGUCCGUUGUGAAAGCCCUGGGCUCAACCCAGGAACUGCUUCGGAUACUGGCGCGCUUGAGGCUAGUAGGGGUCACUGGAACUGACGGUGGAGCGGUGAAAUGCGUAGAUAUCGUCAGGAACGCCAAUGGUGAAGACAGGUGACUGGGCUAGUUCUGACACUGAGGCACGAAAGCGUGGGGAGCGAACGGGAUUAGAUACCCCGGUAGUCCACGCCCUAAACGAUGCAGACUAGACUGCAGCGGGUUACACCCCGUUGCGGUCGGAGCGAAAUUGUUAAGUCUGCCACCUGGGAAGUACGGUCGCAAGGCUA